UUUGUCCGUUAGUGACGUGCCGAUAGAACAAAUAUCAGUAGACCACCUGUCCCUGCCACGCUGAUACGGAUGUACGAAGGAAUCAAAUCUCUGCCCCAUGCAUAACGGCCUCUGAUCCUCUCCAGGCUCGGGUAGGCGGGUCUACAAGAUGGGUGGACGGAUCCUCUUUCGGGUUCUGGGCUGGGCCGGAGAGCGAGGAUAGAGCAGGGCCUAAAUGGAAUCG
rnacentral:lncRNA from 1 species